rnacentral:rRNA from 1 species
UCCCAGACUCCUACGGGAGGCAGCAGUGGGGGAUAUUGCACAAUGGGGGGAACCCUGAUGCAGCGACGCCGCGUGGGUGAAGAAGCGCCUCGGCGCGUAAAGCCCUGUCAGCAGGGAAGAAAAUGACGGUACCUGAAGAAGAAGCAUCGGCUAACUCCGUGCCAGCAGCCGCGGUAAUACGGAGGAUGCGAGCGUUAUCCGGAUUUAUUGGGUUUAAAGGGUGCGCAGGCGGCCUGGUAAGUCAGCGGUAAAAGCCGGGGGGCCAACCGCCGGCGAGCCGUUGAAACUGGCGGGCUGGAGUUGGAGAGAAGUACGCGGAAUGCGCGGUGUAGCGGUGAAAUGCGUAGAUAUCGCGCAGAACCCCGAUUGCGAAGGCAGCGUACCGGCUCCACACUGACGCUGAGGCACGAAAGCGUGGGUAUCGAACAGGAUUAGAUACCCUCGUA